AUAUCAAUAAGCGGAGGAAAAGAAACCAACAGGGAUUGCCUUAGUAACGGCGAGUGAAGCGGCAAAAGCUCAAAUUUGAAAUCUAGCACCUUCGGUGUUCGAGUUGUAAUUUGAAGAAGGUAACCUUGGGAUUGGCUCUUGUCUAUGUUUCUUGGAACAGAACGUCACAGAGGGUGAGAAUCCCGUGCGAUGAGAUGACCAAUUCUAUGUAAGGUGCUUUCGAAGAGUCGAGUUGUUUGGGAAUGCAGCUCUAAGUGGGUGGUAAAUUCCAUCUAAAGCUAAAUAUUGGCGAGAGACCGAUAGCGAACAAGUACAGUGAUGGAAAGAUGAAAAGAACUUUGAAAAGAGAGUGAAAAAGUACGUGAAAUUGUUGAAAGGGAAGGGUAUGAGAUCAGACUUGGUGUUUUGCAACCUUAUCUUCGGAUGGGGCCCCUGCAGUUCAUCGGGCCAGCAUCAGUUUGGACGGUAGGAUAAUGACAUUGGAAUGUGACUUGGCUUCGGUUAAGUGUUAUAGCCCUUGUUGAUACUGCCUGUCUAGACUGAGGACUGCGUCUUUGACUAGGAUGCUGGCAUAAUGAUCCUAUACCGC
rnacentral:rRNA from 1 species